UACGGAGGGGGCUAGCGUUGUUCGGAAUUACUGGGCGUAAAGCGCGCGUAGGCGGCUUUGUAAGUUAGAGGUGAAAGCCCGGAGCUCAACUCCGGAACUGCCUUUAAGACUGCAUCGCUAGAACGUCGGAGAGGUAAGUGGAAUUCCGAGUGUAGAGGUGAAAUUCGUAGAUAUUCGGAAGAACACCAGUGGCGAAGGCGGCGCUCUGGGCUGGCACUGACACUGAGGAGCGAAAGCGUGGGGAGCGAACAGG
rnacentral:rRNA from 1 species